rnacentral:misc_RNA from 1 species
GAUGAAGAACGUAGCGAAAUGCGAUAAGUAAUGUGAAUUGCAGAAUUCAGUGAAUCAUCGAAUCUUUGAACGCACCUUGCGCCCUUUGGACAUUCCGAAGGGCAUGCCUGUUUGAGUAUCAUGAACACCUCACCUCUCACGGCUUGUCCGUGAUGAGCUUGGACUUUGGGGGUCUUGCCGGCCUGUGGUCGGCUCCUCUCACAUGGAUCAGCUUGCCAGUGUUUGGUGGCAUCACAGGUGUGAUAACUAUCUGCGCUUGUGGUUUUCCAUCAGAUAACCUUCAGUGAUAUGGAGGUUCGCUGGAGCUCACAAAUGUCUCUCCUUAGUGAGGACAGCUCUUUGAACGUUUGAUCUCAAAUCAGGUAGGACUACCCGCUGAACUUAAGCAUAUCAAUAAGCGGAGGA